rnacentral:rRNA from 1 species
AACGCUAGCUACAGGCUUAACACAUGCAAGUCGAGGGGCAGCAUAAAAGUAGCAAUACUUUGGUGGCGACCGGCGCACGGGUGAGUAACGCGUAUGCAACCUACCUAUCAGAGGGGAAUAACCCGGCGAAAGUCGGACUAAUACCGCAUAAAACAGGGACACCGCAUGGUGAUAUUUGUUAAAGAACUUCGCUGAUAGAUGGGCAUGCGUUCCAUUAGGUAGUUGGUGAGGUAACGGCUCACCAAGCCGACGAUGGAUAGGGGAACUGAGAGGUUGGUCCCCCACACUGGUACUGAGACACGGACCAGACUCCUACGGGAGGCAGCAGUGAGGAAUAUUGGUCAAUGGGCGAGAGCCUGAACCAGCCAAGUCGCGUGAAGGAAGAAGGAUCUAUGGUUCGUAAACUUCUUUUGCAGGGGAAUAAAGUGCAGGACGUGUCCUGUUUUGUAUGUACCCUGAGAAUAAGGAUCGGCUAACUCCGUGCCAGCAGCCGCGGUAAUACGGAGGAUCCGAGCGUUAUCCGGAUUUAUUGGGUUUAAAGGGUGCGUAGGUGGUUUGAUAAGUCAGCGGUGAAAGUUUGCAGCUUAACUGUAAAAAUGCCGUUGAAACUGUCGGACUUGAGUGUAAAUGAGGUAGGCGGAAUGCGUGGUGUAGCGGUGAAAUGCAUAGAUAUCACGAAGAACUCCGAUUG